UACGUAGGGGGCUAGCGUUGUCCGGAUUUAUUGGGCGUAAAGAGCGUGUAGGCGGCCAGGUAGGUCUGGUGUGAAAACUCGAGGCUCAACCUCGAGCUGUCGAUGGAAACCAUCUAGCUAGAGUCCGGAAGAGGAGAGUGGAAUUCCUGGUGUAGCGGUGAAAUGCGCAGAUAUCAGGAAAAACACCCGUGGCGAAGGCGGCUCUCUGGUACGUGACUGACGCUGAGACGCGAAAAGCGUGGGGAGCGAACAGG
rnacentral:rRNA from 1 species